rnacentral:misc_RNA from 1 species
GAUGAAGAACGUAGCGAAAUGCGAUAAGUAAUGUGAAUUGCAGAAUUCAGUGAAUCAUCGAAUCUUUGAACGCACAUUGCGCCCGCCAGUAUUCUGGCGGGCAUGCCUGUUCGAGCGUCAUUACAACCCUCAGGCCCCCGGGCCUGGCGUUGGGGAUCGGCGGAAGCCCCCUGCGGGCACAACGCCGUCCCCCAAAUACAGUGGCGGUCCCGCCGCAGCUUCCAUUGCGUAGUAGCUAACACCUCGCAACUGGAGAGCGGCGCGGCCACGCCGUAAAACACCCAACUACUGAAUGUUGACCUCGAAUCAGGUAGGAAUACCCGCUGAACUUAAGCAUAUCAAAAGCGGAGGA